UUGCCAGACAACGUGGUGUGGUGUGCUCUGUGUUUGCUGACGCAACUCCCACUGGUUGGGGCAUUUGCACCACCUGUCAACUCAUUUCCGGUACUUUCGGUUUCUCACUUCCGAUUGCUACCGCGGAGCUUAUAGCCGCCUGCCUUGCUCGCUGCUGGACAGGAGCUCGGUUGUUGGGCACUGAUAACUCCGUGGUCCUCUCCGGUAAGCUAACUUCGUUUCCAUGGCUGCUCGCCUGUGUUGCCAACUGGAUUCUUCG
rfam:Ground squirrel hepatitis virus (GSHV), complete genome.